rnacentral:piRNA from 1 species
UGUUCAGGACUGUGGGUACUUAGUUCCAGC